rnacentral:lncRNA from 1 species
CCGAAUCAACAUAUCAAAUACUAGAUUUUAACUAGACAGUUUCAAAAGAAAAGAAAGCAAUCUCAACGUGAUUCAUUCACAAUAAUACUCCAACAAAUGUGAUAUUACAAUAACACUUUAAGCGCAUAUCCUAGGUGAGACAAGUAAACAAGUAGACUACAACUGCACUUGGAACUUGUAGACCUUCGCUUACGCCAAAAGUAUCCAUAAAACAACAUAUAAAUUGAACAUCUCUAAAGUAAUUUAACAUUUUUACAGCUUUAAAGUGGAAAAACUCGAAACUGUUUGCAAUUUUGCAUCAAAAGGUAUCACGACAAACUUGGCAAACAGCUUCACCCAUGAUGGUUGAGCUAAUAACCACAUGUAGGUCAAAACUGCAUGGUCUUGUUUAUGUUAACCCUGAAAAACUUUAGCAGCAGAUCAGCAUUGUAAUAAUUAAAUCUUUUCUUGGAACUCUUAGAAGUUAAAAAGAAGAAACAACAUAUUUAUGGAUGUAAACACUUUUGAUGCAAGGAAGAUUCAAGAGGUAUAUUGGCAUUCAAUCUUUGACAAUAUAGCACUAACCUUAUCAACAGGACCUUUAGCACCUCCUAUGAAUAUUUCAGCACUGCAAAUUAGGCCGCCAUGAAUGGGCCUCGAUCGGCGACGACCUCAAAAUCAAUCGAACUCCAUCAGUAGCGAGAAUCGAACAGAGGUCGAAGUUCUCUGUAUGAACAAACUCCAAUGUUCAAUUUCUAAAGUCAAUCACGAAAUUUGAAGAGCCCAGCUAAUCGUCUUCUCCAAGAGUGAGUUCAGGGGUCAUUGGUGAGGGAGAUGGCUGGAGAUCGGUGGUCUCUUAGGGUGUGUUUGGUUGUCCAGGAGCUGAACGGUGGAGGGCUGCUGUGUUCCGCAGCUGAUUUUAGUUGCUUGGGGUGUGGAUGAGAUGAGGAGUUCUAUUGUUUUUUCUUGUCCAUGGUGAAAGGGGAAGAAGAAAACAGAACCGAUGGGGAAGGGGUCUCUUGUGUGUAUUAGCUGCGCAGCUUUGUGCGUAUCUCCUUCUUCGUUAUUAUGCGCAGCUUUGCUGCUUUUUCGUUCCAGCCCCCUUUUGCUUUUUUG